GAUGUUUUAGACGUUUUCCAACACAAAUAGGUUUCAACGAUUUUUAUAAGCCAUUUGGAAUUAAAUUAUAAAGCUUUAUUUUAGAUGUUAAAAUUACAAUUGAUCAUAGUUUAUUUUAACCACUUCCAAUCGACAAUUGAAAUAUCUUUUUUCAACGACUGACCUUCGGAAACUGGAAAAAUUGCUUGUGUAUAGUAUUAGCAAUGUUAAGAAGUUGCAUUUUUUUCAUUUCAAGAGACACACAAAUUUUGUAAAAUGGAUCCGCGAACAGCAGUUGAAAAGCAAGAAGACGUCGCGAGAAGAAACGCACCUAAUGAAAUUUUUAACGAGACCGACGAGUCUACCGGCAAAUCCGGUAGAAUCCGAAGCAUUGUGCACCAAGAGUGAGCUAGUGGCGGAAUUGGGAGCAUGUGAGGAAGGAUGAUAAAAUUUGAUGCUUGCAUGGAGCCGCAUAUGCCUGGCGGAAGCCAAAUACCGAGCUCCAAAACAUUGAUUUAAAUCCUACAGUCAAGCAUAGCGGUGGCAGUGGCAUGGUCUUGUAUAUCCACAGACGGAGUCGGAAAGCUGCAUUUUAUUGAACCACAAUAGACACGACUCACUAUCUGGCGGUACUGAAAGCCAAUUUCCUCCAAAGUAAGGAUAAACUGGGCAUUAGGGACGAUUUCCGCUUCUACCAAUUUGGAAUUGUCAUCAUGUCCUGCAACCACCAGCUCUGGUAUGGCAACAACAUGGGUAGAAUCAAAAUUCCACAUCGUCUUGGAAUAUUCAACAAAAGGAAGGUCUUACGAAGUAUUAAAUACAUUGUUUAACAUAUUUAUACUUAAAUAAGCUGUGGUAUUUUUUUGUUAUUUUGUUUGUUUUUCAAUUAUUUUAUUAAGUUAACAAAAA